rnacentral:rRNA from 1 species
UUGAAGAGUUUGAUCAUGGCUCAGAUUGAACGCUGGCGGCAGGCCUAACACAUGCAAGUCGAGCGGUAGCACAGAGAGCUUGCUCUCGGGUGACGAGCGGCGGACGGGUGAGUAAUGUCUGGGAAACUGCCUGAUGGAGGGGGAUAACUACUGGAAACGGUAGCUAAUACCGCAUAAUGUCGCAAGACCAAAGUGGGGGACCUUCGGGCCUCAUGCCAUCAGAUGUGCCCAGAUGGGAUUAGCUAGUAGGUGGGGUAAUGGCUCACCUAGGCGACGAUCCCUAGCUGGUCUGAGAGGAUGACCAGCCACACUGGAACUGAGACACGGUCCAGACUCCUACGGGAGGCAGCAGUGGGGAAUAUUGCACAAUGGGCGCAAGCCUGAUGCAGCCAUGCCGCGUGUGUGAAGAAGGCCUUCGGGUUGUAAAGCACUUUCAGCGGGGAGGAAGGCGAUAAGGUUAAUAACCUUGGCGAUUGACGUUACCCGCAGAAGAAGCACCGGCUAACUCCGUGCCAGCAGCCGCGGUAAUACGGAGGGUGCAAGCGUUAAUCGGAAUUACUGGGCGUAAAGCGCACGCAGGCGGUCUGUCAAGUCGGAUGUGAAAUCCCCGGGCUCAACCUGGGAACUGCAUUCGAAACUGGCAGGCUAGAGUCUUGUAGAGGGGGGUAGAAUUCCAGGUGUAGCGGUGAAAUGCGUAGAGAUCUGGAGGAAUACCGGUGGCGAAGGCGGCCCCCUGGACAAAGACUGACGCUCAGGUGCGAAAGCGUGGGGAGCAAACAGGAUUAGAUACCCUGGUAGUCCACGCCGUAAACGAUGUCGAUUUGGAGGUUGUGCCCUUGAGGCGUGGCUUCCGGAGCUAACGCGUUAAAUCGACCGCCUGGGGAGUACGGCCGCAAGGUUAAAACUCAAAUGAAUUGACGGGGGCCCGCACAAGCGGUGGAGCAUGUGGUUUAAUUCGAUGCAACGCGAAGAACCUUACCUGGUCUUGACAUCCACAGAACUUAGCAGAGAUGCUUUGGUGCCUUCGGGAACUGUGAGACAGGUGCUGCAUGGCUGUCGUCAGCUCGUGUUGUGAAAUGUUGGGUUAAGUCCCGCAACGAGCGCAACCCUUAUCCUUUGUUGCCAGCGGUUAGGCCGGGAACUCAAAGGAGACUGCCAGUGAUAAACUGGAGGAAGGUGGGGAUGACGUCAAGUCAUCAUGGCCCUUACGACCAGGGCUACACACGUGCUACAAUGGCAUAUACAAAGAGAAGCGACCUCGCGAGAGCAAGCGGACCUCAUAAAGUAUGUCGUAGUCCGGAUUGGAGUCUGCAACUCGACUCCAUGAAGUCGGAAUCGCUAGUAAUCGUAGAUCAGAAUGCUACGGUGAAUACGUUCCCGGGCCUUGUACACACCGCCCGUCACACCAUGGGAGUGGGUUGCAAAGAAGUAGGUAGCUUAACCUUCGGGAGGGCGCUUACCACUUUGUGAUUCAUGACUGGGGUGAAGUCGUAACAAGGUAACCGUAGGGAACCUGCGGUUGGAUCACCUCCUU